UACGGAGGAUGCGAGCGUUAUCCGGAUUUAUUGGGUUUAAAGGGUGCGUAGGCGGGAUGCCAAGUCAGCGGUGAAAGUUUGUGGCUCAACCAUAAAAUUGCCGUUGAAACUGGCAGACUUGAGUGUGUUUGAGGUAGGCGGAAUGCGUGGUGUAGCGGUGAAAUGCAUAGAUAUCACGCAGAACUCCGAUUGCGAAGGCAGCAUACCGGCGCCCUACUGACGCUGAGGCACGAAAGCGUGGGUAUCGAACAGG
rnacentral:rRNA from 1 species